GGGAAUGUAGCUCAGUGGUAAAGCACAUGCCUAGCAUGCAUGAGGCCCCGUGUUCAAUUCCCA
rnacentral:tRNA from 1 species